AGUGAACGCUGGCGGCGUGCUUAACACAUGCAAGUCGAACGAGAACGGAUUAUAGCUUGCUAUAAUUGUCAGCUAAGUGGCGCACGGGUGAGUAAUGUAUAGGUAAUAUGCCUCUUACUAAGGGAUAACAAAUGGAAACGUUUGCUAAUACCUUAUACUUCUUAUUGACAGAAGUUAAUAAGGGAAAGAUUUAUUGGUAAGAGAUUAGCCUGUAUUGUAUCAGUUAGUUGGUGGGGUAAUGGCUUACCAAGACUAUGACACAUAACUGGUUUGAGAGGAUGAUCAGUCACACUGGAACUGAGACACGGUCCAGACUCCUACGGGAGGCAGCAGUGGGGAAUAUUGCACAAUGGACGAAAGUCUGAUGCAGCAACGCCGCGUGGAGGAUGACACAUUUCGGUGCGUAAACUCCUUUUAUAUGAGAAGAUAAUGACGGUAUUAUAUGAAUAAGCACCGGCUAACUCCGUGCCAGCAGCCGCCGUAA
rnacentral:rRNA from 1 species